rnacentral:rRNA from 1 species
GACGAACGCUGGCGGCGGGCUUAACACAUGCAAGUCGAACGGAAAGGCCCUGCUUUUGUGGGGUGCUCGAGUGGCGAACGGGUGAGUAACACGUGAGUAACCUGCCCUUGACUUUGGGAUAACUUCAGGAAACUGGUGCUAAUACCGGAUAGGAGCUCCUGCUGCAUGGUGGGGGUUGGAAAGUUUCGGCCGUUGGGGAUGGACUCGCGGCUUAUCAGCUUGUUGGUGGGGUAGUGGCUUACCAAGGCUUUGACGGGUAGCCGGCCUGAGAGGGUGAACGGCCACAUUGGGACUGAGAGACGGCCCAGACUCCUACGGGAGGCAGCAGUGGGGAAUAUUGCACAAUGGGCGGAAGUCUGAGGCAGCAACGCCGCGUGUGGGAUGACCGCCUUCGGGUUGUAAACCGCUUUAGCCUGUGACGAAGCGUGAGUGACGGUAAUGGGUAAAGAAGCACCGGCUAACUACGUG